GGCCGAGCUGCCAUUGGGCCUGCUCGACUGAGGGAUCCUGGAACUGGCCAAUCCAAGGCGCUGACGUGGGCCGUCGGGGCGGGAUCAGCGAGCGGGCCUCCGGCGGAGGUCAGAGGGCCUCUCGGUGCGGCCGGUGGCGGAGCUGCCGGGAAGGAGGGCGCGCGGCAGGCGCCCCGGGGAAAUCGGGCGUCGCGGGAAGAGCCCCGACGUCUGUCAGGACCGAGGUAGCGCUGCCGUUCGCCCCGGAGACUUUGCCUUACCUACUUGUACCGCUUUCUCUUUCUGCCAUGAUUGGCUCGGGUCCCUCCUGCCUCUGCACGCUCUGCAAACCGGGAUCCGGCGUUGUUUUGGUCGAGAACCCGAUUGACCGGAAAGGCUACAAGAGUGCAGAGAUGCCUUGUUUUAACUGAUGUCACACGAUCUCUAACUGGCCUGGAACUUACCAAGCAGACUUUUUAAAAAAGCAAACCAGGAGGGCCCCAUCUGCAACCAGGCCUGUGAAUUUUGUUUUGUUUUGUUUUUAAAGGGUUUUAUUUGUUUC